GAUGAAGAACGUAGCGAAAUGCGAUAAGUAGUGUGAAUUGCAGAAUUCAGUGAAUCAUCGAAUCUUUGAACGCACAUUGCGCCCUUUGGUAUUCCUUAGGGCAUGCCUGUUCGAGCGUCAUUUAAACCUUCAAGCCCUGCUUGCGUUGGGGUCCUGCGGCUGCCCGCAGGCCCUGAAAACCAGUGGCGGGCUCGCUAGUCACACCGAGCGCAGUAAUACAUCUCGCUUUGGGCGUGCGGCGGGUUCUUGCCGUUAAACACCCCCUUUUUACCAAGGUUGACCUCGGAUCAGGUAGGAAUACCCGCUGAACUUAAGCAUAUCAAUAAGCGGAGGA
rnacentral:misc_RNA from 1 species